GACGAACGCUUGCGGCGUGCUUAACACAUGCAAGUCGAACGGAAAGGCCCUGCUUUUGUGGGGUGCUCGAGUGGCGAACGGGUGAGUAACACGUGAGUAACCUGCCCUUGACUUUGGGAUAACUUCAGGAAACUGGGGCUAAUACCGGAUAGGAGCUCCUGCUGCAUGGUGGGGGUUGGAAAGUUUCGGCGGUUGGGGAUGGACUCGCGGCUUAUCAGCUUGUUGGUGGGGUAGUGGCUUACCAAGGCUUUGACGGGUAGCCGGCCUGAGAGGGUGACCGGCCACAUUGGGACUGAGAUACGGCCCAGACUCCUACGGGAGGCAGCAGUGGGGAAUAUUGCACAAUGGGCGGAAGCCUGAUGCAGCAACGCCGCGUGCGGGAUGACGGCCUUCGGGUUGUAAACCGCUUUCGCCUGUGACGAAGCGUGAGUGACGGUAAUGGGUAAAGAAGCACCGGCUAACUACGUGCCAGCAGCCGCGGUGAUACGUAGGGUGCGAGCGUUGUCCGGAUUUAUUGGGCGUAAAGGGCUCGUAGGUGGUUGAUCGCGUCGGAAGUGUAAUCUUGGGGCUUAACCCUGAGCGUGCUUUCGAUACGGGUUGACUUGAGGAAGGUAGGGGAGAAUGGAAUUCCUGGUGGAGCGGUGGAAUGCGCAGAUAUCAGGAGGAACACCAGUGGCGAAGGCGGUUCUCUGGGCCUUUCCUGACGCUGAGGAGCGAAAGCGUGGGGAGCGAACAGGCUUAGAUACCCUGGUAGUCCACGCUGUAAACGGUGGGUACUAGGUGUGGGGUCCAUUCCACGGGUUCCGUGCCGUAGCUAACGCUUUAAGUACCCCGCCUGGGGAGUACGGCCGCAAGGCUAAAGCUCAAAGGAAUUGACGGGGCCCCGCACAAGCGGCGGAGCAUGCGGAUUAAUUCGAUGCAACGCGUAGAACCUUACCUGGGUUUGACAUGGAUCGGGAGUGCUCAGAGAUGGGUGUGCCUCUUUUGGGGUCGGUUCACAGGUGGUGCAUGGCUGUCGUCAGCUCGUGUCGUGAGAUGUUGGGUUAAGUCCCGCAACGAGCGCAACCCUUGUUCACUGUUGCCAGCACGUUAUGGUGGGGACUCAGUGGAGACCGCCGGGGUCAACUCGGAGGAAGGUGGGGAUGACGUCAAGUCAUCAUGCCCCUUAUGUCCAGGGCUUCACGCAUGCUACAAUGGCUGGUACAGAGAGUGGCGAGCCUGUGAGGGUGAGCGAAUCUCGGAAAGCCGGUCUCAGUUCGGAUUGGGGUCUGCAACUCGACCUCAUGAAGUCGGAGUCGCUAGUAAUCGCAGAUCAGCAACGCUGCGGUGAAUACGUUCCCGGGGCU
rnacentral:rRNA from 1 species